rnacentral:tRNA from 1 species
CUCAGAAUAGUAAAAAUUAAAUACGCUGGAGUUAAGGUUCAGAGAUGGGCUUUGGUUCUUCUGAGA